UACGUAAGGUGCAAGCGUUGUCCGGAAUUAUUGGGCGUAAAGAGCUCGUAGGCGGUCUGUCGCGUCGGCUGUGAAAACCCGGGGCUCAACCCCGGGCCUGCAGCCGAUACGGGCAGACUAGAGUUCGGCAGGGGAGACUGGAAUUCCUGGUGUAGCGGUGAAAUGCGUAGAUAUCUGGAGGAAUACCGGUGGCGAAGGCGGCAUCCUGGACCGACAUUGACGCUGAGGAGCGAAAGCUAGGGGAGCAAACGGG
rnacentral:rRNA from 1 species